rnacentral:tRNA from 1 species
ACCAAAAUAGCUCAGUUGGGAGAGCGGUAGACUAUAGAUCGGAAGGUCCGUGGUUAGAUUCCGAGAAUUAGGCA